GUGCCUUUUUAAGGUUAACACAGUGCCUUAAGAGCUAACACAAAAGGGCAAAGUACGUCUCCAUAAAGCCCGGAGAAGAUUCUGUGAAGCUCCGCUCGGGAUCCUGUCUGGAGUCACAGCU
ensembl:snoRNA